UGUUCUAACAUGGCUGCUAUAGAAUGUUGUAGUGUCAUGUUAAUGGGGUUCUAACAUGGCUGCUAUAGAAUGUUGUAGUGUCAUGUUAAUGGGGUUCUAACAUGGCUGUUAUAGAAUGUUGUAGUGUCAUGUUAAUGGGGUUCUAACAUGGCUGAUAUAGAAUGUUGUAGUUUCGUGUUAAUGGGUUAAUAUAAUGUGGCAUGUCAUGUUAAUGGGGUUCUAACAUGGCUGUUAUAGAAUGUUGUAGUGUCAUGUUAAUGGGGUUCUAACAUGGCUGCUAUAGAAUGUUGUAGUGUCAUGUUAAUGGGCUUCUAACAUGGCUGCUAUAGAAUGUUGUAGUGUCAUGUUAAUGGGGUUCUAACAUGGCUGCUAUAGAAUGUUGUAGUGUCAUGUUAAUGGGGUUUUAACAUGGCUGCUAUAGAAUGUUGUAGUGUCAUGGCUGCUAUAGAAUGUUGUAGUGUCAUGUUAAUGGGGUUCUAACAUGGCUGCUAUAGAAUGUUGUAGUGUCAUGUUAAUGGGGUUCUAACAUGGCUGCUAUAGAAUGUUGUAGUGUCAUGCUAAUGGGCUUCUAACAUGGCUGCUAUAGAAUGUUAAAGUGUCAUGGCUGCUAUAGAAUGUUGUAGUGUCAUGUUAAUGGGGUUCUAACAUGGCUGCUAUAGAAUGUUGUAGUGUCAUGUUAAUGGGGUUCUAACAUGGCUGCUAUAGAAUGUUGUAGUGUCAUGUUAAUGGGGUUCUAACAGGUUGUUGUGUCACCCUCUAUGUUCCAACUUUCUAAACACAUGGCUCUGAUUUAUUGUAAUCAACCCUAUAAAAUAUUAGAUUUAAAAUAAGUACAUUUAUCAUUGUGUACAAACUUGUUGAGUUAAAUGAAGUGUUUUACAAAUCCCGCGUCUUAUUUUGAAGAACAAAGUUGUUGUUUUUUUUGGGGGGGGGGGGUUGUGGAACAUUUUGUUGGGUUCAUUUGGUAAAUCUCAAUGUUGUUUUUGGAAAUAAACAAUGUGGCAAUCAGAGAAGAGGAUUAUGAUGGUGUAUCGUUAAAAUGGAGAUUAGUCUGUAUCUAAAAAAUUAAAAAGUAUUUCCACCAUUUUGUUAACCAUUCCACAUUCCCAUUUAUAAGCUUCAACAUAACCACCAGGCUUUUCCCUCCUGUUGACUUGUGUUAACAGACUAGAAUAAAUAGCCAACUAGUGAAAGUUGACAGAGGAAGCUACAGAAAGAUAGCCUGGUUCUCAAUGACCAUACGGUUUGGACCAGGCUAAGAGAAGGAUGCUGAAUGAAAUGGCAUCUCAACCAGCUGUACCACAAUGGCAAGUAAAUGAAUGCAAACAAAUUGACUGUGCUCUUAUAGGUCAGCUAGAAUGGACGUUCUAAAUGUAAAGAUUUCCUAAAUAGCACCCUAAUCUAGUGCACUACUUUUGACCAGAGCCCUAUGGGGCCUUGUAGAAAGUAGUGCACUAGAUAGGGGAUAUGAUGCCAUUUGGGACACUUCAAAUUGUUCUCCUGUGGGUCCCAAAUGGAGCCCUACUAUAAUACACCAUUCAGAGGAUCAAUAUGAAGCCUAUCAGGACGAGUGUCUGUUUUCAUUGCUGUAUUAUACUGUUAAAGAACAUAAAUAAAAAUGUUUAGUCGCCAAAUUCUAACAACAAAGUGUUGGUGUGUUAUUAGCCUGGAAUGUUGGGGCCAAUUACCUCCACGCUGAAUGCAAUGAGCUUGUCG
ensembl:lncRNA